UGCGUAGGGUGCAGGCGUUAAUCGGAAUUACUGGGCGUAAAGCGUGCGCAGGCGGUUUGCUAAGACAGGUGUGAAAUCCCCGGGCUUAACCUGGGAACUGCGCUUGUUACUGGCAAGCUUGAGUGUGGCAGAGGGGGGUGGAAUUCCACGUGUAGCAGUGAAAUGCGUAGAGAUGUGGAGGAACACCGAUGGCGAAGGCAGCCCCCUGGGCUAACACUGACGCUCAUGCACGAAAGCGUGGGGAGCAAACAGG
rnacentral:rRNA from 1 species